rnacentral:rRNA from 1 species
CGGGGUGAGUAAUGCUUGGGAAUCUAGCUUAUGGAGGGGGAUAACUACGGGAAGCUGUAGCUAAUACCGCGUAAUAUCGAAAGAUUAAAGUGUGGGACCUUCGGGCCACAUGCCAUAGGAUGAGCCCAAGUGGGAUUAGGUGGUUGGUGAGGUAAAGGCUCACCGAGCCGACGAUCUCUAGCUGGUCUGAGAGGAUGACCAGCCACACUGGGACUGAGACACGGCCCAG